rnacentral:rRNA from 1 species
AUUGAACGCUGGCGGCAGGCCUAACACAUGCAAGUCGAGCGGAUGAAAGGGGCUUGCUCCUGGAUUCAGCGGCGGACGGGUGAGUAAUGCGCAGGAAUCUACCUCGUAGUGGGGGAUAACGUCUCGAAAGGGGCGCUAAUACCGCAUACGUUCUGAGGAAGAAAGCAGGGGACCUUCGGGCCUUGCGCUAUGAGAUGAGCUUGCGUCCGAUUAGCUAGUUGGUGGGGUAAAGGCCUACCAAGGCGACGAUCGGUAACUGGUCUGAGAGGAUGAUCAGUCACACUGGAACUGAGACACGGUCCAGACUCCUACGGGAGGCAGCAGUGGGGAAUAUUGGACAAUGGGGGGCAACCCUGAUCCAGCCAUGCCGCGUGUGUGAAGAAGGCCUCGGGUUGUAAGCACUUUAAGUCGGGGAGGAAGGGACCUGAUGGCUAAUAUCCAUCGGAUUGACGUUACCCGCAGAUAAGCACCGGCAAACUUCGUGCCAGCAGCCGCGGUAAUC